GUCGUGAGAUGUUGGGUUAAGUCCCGCAACGAGCGCAACCCCUGUUCUUAGUUGCCAGCGCGUAAUGGCGGGGACUCUAGGAAGACUGCCGGUGCCAAACCGGAGGAAGGUGGGGACGACGUCAAGUCAUCAUGGUCCUUACGUCUAGGGCUACACACGUGCUACAAUGGGCGGGACAGCGGGGGCCGAGGCAGCAAUGCUCAGGCAAUCCCAAAACCCGUCCUCAGUUCGGAUUGUCGUCUGCAACUCGACGGCAUGAAGCUGGAAUCGCUAGUAAUCGUGGAUCAGCAUCGCCACGGUGAAUACGUUCCCGGGCCUUGUACACACCGCCCGUCACGCCAUGGAAGUGGUGAGCGCCCGAAGUCCGUGUCGGAACCCGCAAGGGGCCAAGCGGCCGAAGGCGAGCAUCAUGACUGGGGCGAAGUCGUAACAAGGUAGCCGUAGGGGAACCUGCGGCUGGAUCACCUCCUUAACGGAGAGUGGCGAGUAGAAAGGGAGCAAUCCUUUUAGAAAGCCCUCAUCUAGUUAUCGCCCGUCUUUCACAUCCAGAUCUCAAUCUCGAUUUCAAAAUAUUCCGGUCCAUAGCCGAGUUAUUCGACUAUGGAUUGGGCUGUAGCAAAGAACCAGCGAACGGGCGCAAUCCCGUCAGCUGUUUGACAACGGAUGAUAGAAGUGAUCGUGGGAUUUGAAGGUGUCGGAAUCCUGAUAAGAAUUCCGAUGCCGCGAAUCAACACUAGUGAUUCAAUUUCGCGGCCCCGAAAGGGGUCGUAUUGAUCUCAGAGCGCAAGCUCUAAGAUCUGAUUGUAUUGCUCGUUAGAUCGCGCGUGUUUCUGUUUGAACAAGUUAUUUGAUCAAGCGAAAGAAAGUAUGCGGGGGAUGCCUAGGUACACAGAGGCGAUGAAGGCCGUGGUAAGCUGCGAUAAGCCAGGGGGAGCUGCACACAAGCUACGAUCCCUGGAUGG
rnacentral:sRNA from 1 species